rnacentral:tRNA from 1 species
GCCCCGGUGGCUUAGCCUGGUAAAGCGUCUCCUUGGUAAGGAGGAGAUCGCGGGUCCAAAUCCCGCCCGGGGCUCCA